CCUGUCCUAAUAACAUUUCCAGAAAUAAAGGCUGAACCUGAGGGUAAUUUCAAUGAACUUCAACCUGUACAUGGUGAGGAGCGACAAUAUUCCUAUGAUGAGUGUGGAGAUUCUUUCAGUCAAGAGCAAAUUCUGAUAGCACUUCAAUACACAUAUAGUGGGGAGCGGCCAUUUGUAUGUAACGUAUGUAAUAAGUCAUUCAGUCAUCAGAGUAGUCUGAA